GAUGAACGCUGGCGGCGUGCCUAAUACAUGCAAGUCGAGCGAACAGACGAGAAGCUUGCUCUUCUGACGUUAGCGGCGGACGGGUGAGUAACACGUGGAUAACCUACCUAUAAGACUGGGAUAACUUCGGGAAACCGGAGCUAAUACCGGAUAAUAUAUUGAACCGCAUGGUUCAAUAGUGAAAGACGGUUUUGCUGUCACUUAUAGAUGGAUCCGCGCUGCAUUAGCUAGUUGGUAAGGUAACGGCUUACCAAGGCGACGAUGCGUAGCCGACCUGAGAGGGUGAUCGGCCACACUGGAACUGAGACACGGUCCAGACUCCUACGGGAGGCAGCAGUAGGGAAUCUUCCGCAAUGGGCGAAAGCCUGACGGAGCAACGCCGCGUGAGUGAUGAAGGUCUUCGGAUCGUAAAACUCUGUUAUUAGGGAAGAACAAAUGUGUAAGUAACUAUGCACGUCUUGACGGUACCUAAUCAGAAAGCCACGGCUAACUACGUG
rnacentral:rRNA from 1 species